rnacentral:rRNA from 1 species
GAUGAACGCUAGCUACAGGCUUAACACAUGCAAGUCGAGGGGAAACGACAUCGAAAGCUUGCUUUUGAUGGGCGUCGACCGGCGCACGGGUGAGUAACGCGUAUCCAACCUGCCCGCCACUUGGGGAUAACCUUGCGAAAGUAAGACUAAUACCCAAUGAUAUCUCUAGAAGACAUCUGAAAGAGAUUAAAGAUUUAUCGGUGAUGGAUGGGGAUGCGUCUGAUUAGCUUGUUGGCGGGGUAACGGCCCACCAAGGCUACGAUCAGUAGGGGUUCUGAGAGGAAGGUCCCCCACAUUGGAACUGAGACACGGUCCAAACUCCUACGGGAGGCAGCAGUGAGGAAUAUUGGUCAAUGGGCGAGAGCCUGAACCAGCCAAGUAGCGUGCAGGAUGACGGCCCUAUGGGUUGUAAACUGCUUUUAUAAGGGAAUAAAGUGAGCCUCGUGAGGCUUUUUGCAUGUACCUUAUGAAUAGGGACCGGCUAAUUCCGUGCCAGCCGCCGCCGUAA